AAACAAGAACAAUUCUUCUCCCUAUUUUUCCUCAUAGUAGCCCCCCCUCCCCCCUCUCUCUUCUCUCCCAACUUUCUUCAUCCACCACCAUUGUUGAGCAAGUAAAAAGCUUCACAAGCCACUUCUACAUCAUAAUCACCUAUUAGAUCAAGCUAAAAACAUCCAUAAAUCCUUAAAACAAAAGCUUGGUUGUGGGUUUGAGCUUGGAGUCAAGAAGGUGGAGCUAUACUUUUCUCCACAAAAAUCAUAAGAAUACGAGUCGAGGGCAUGAGUGAGAUCACUCCAAAGCACGAGAGCUAAAACUAGGAUUGCCAGGUGGGCAUUACUUUCUUAUACUCUAUUACUGAUUUUCCAAAAUGAUGAUUAUGAUGAUGUUUAUGAGUUUUAAAAAUGUUUUAGGAUUUAAUGAGGAUGUUUGAACUAAUUAACUUGUCGAGUUUUAUUGACGACGAGCCUGUACGUUACCCUCUACGGAUGAGACGAAUUCGGAUCCUGCCAAAAGCGGAAUUGUGUACACAGAGGUGACCGUGAGCUGUAUAUCGGGUUGACCAGUCAGAAAUGACUGUGAGCCGACUGUCGGGUCGGCCGGUUACGGUGCUUGAGAAGGAGGCCUACUUCUCAGUACCUUGAUGAUGAUGAGUUGUAGAAGUGGAUGAGCAAGGAGAGAGAUUGGCUGGCCGCUGGAGGAUUUGUUGUUUCAGACGUCUUUUGGUCCCGUACGGUAGUGUGAACAGUUGGAGAUUAUUUAUUUUGAACUUAAUUAGAAUUGUCACUCUCAGCUAUAUGUCUUCAUACAUAUAGUCUGAUCCCGUUUUGCUGUGCUACCCUAAACAAUAUGAAUUCUUGUAAAUAUUUAGCUAUACUCCUUUUGUUUUUGUUGACAAGAAUCCUGAUACUUUUGGAUUUAUGAAGCCGACAAUAUUUCUAUUAAGGUUCACGAUAUUUUAUUUGCUUUA